CCUUGAAAAAUAUUAAUAUAUUGUGAAAAUUGCAUUUAACCCUCUAUAAAAAAUUUAUUACAUACAAAUCCUUAUUUUUCCCCCUAAAUUUCAAGGGGGCAAUUAUCCUUUUUUGCCACCCCUGGCUACGCCACUGCGCACCGACGUACGGCGCAUCUGAAAAUUAAAGUAUUUUUUUAUACCAUUUCCUUAAUACCAUUUGUUUUAACCUAGUCACCCAAUCCAUUGAUCCAAUUUGAGUACCUUCUAGCUAAGCCUGUAAAUUUUUUAAAAUUUAAUAUCUGAUAUUUAUGAUAUUACAGAAAAAUAAUGAAAAAUUUAAUAAUUAAAACAUAAAUGAUCCUAAAUAUAAAUAAAGGAUAACCUAAAUCUAUUGAUCUUGAAAGCUCAAUAAAAUUAUUCCUAUUCGAUUCAUCUUACAUAUAUAUUCAUUAAUUACUUUCCCAGUGAUGGUUGUUGUGGUGGUCCCAUUAUCGGUAACGUAUUAGAGAUAAUUCUGAUAUAUCGCGCUACUGAUAUCACCUCCCAUACUUUCAUUUUUAUCUGCUUCAUCUAUCUUACUAGAGAACAUCGCCAUUAAAUCAGUCCUGCUAUCACAUCUUUCCUGCAUUUUUGGAAACCUCUCUCCACCAUUCUUCAAACUUCCGACCUCAUUAUUGCUACCGUAAAUGCUUGGGUCAAGGCCAGCGUAAAGGGACGAUUCAGACAUGCCAUAAUUACCUCCACCUAGGUUGGACAUUGAAUAGCUAGUUUCUCCAACCGUAGGAUAAAUGUAAUGGGGCAGUUGGAUCCAUCAUAACAGUGUAAUCAUUUUCACAAUCAUUAUUUCUUCCGAUCGAUAUAGCAUAUCUAUCGUUGUCUAUUCCGAGACCAAAUACCACUAGAACUAGCACCAUUGAUAUCCAUACACAUCCGUUUAUUUGGCGAUUGUUGCGCAAGUGGGGUUGUCUUUGUUGUUGUGGUUGAUGUGCAUGUUGCGGUUGUUGCGUUUGCUGUGAUGGGGAGUUAUUUAGUCUCUCUCCUUCUGACUCUCGAUACUUCUCCAGAUAAAUCUAAUGGAACAAAAUACAUUCGAAAAGAGAUUUAAUUAAAAUAAUAUCUGAUAGUUUGUGAAAUAUUUUGUUAAUUGUGAUCAAACGAGAUAAACCUUUAGAGGAAUAGUAUAUGAAUCAAAGUCGAGACGGUUCAUGGACCAAAGAAGGUCAUCCCCGUUGAUAGUUUUACGUUUCUCACUGUGACACUUUUCAGACGCUUCACCGAGAUAAAACUAACAUACUCCGAAACACAUUCUUGAAUCGUUUCUUUGGCUUCUUUCGAGAUCUUAGCAUUUAUCGGCAGAGCUCUCUUCAUGAUCCGGCUCACAUUUGCUAUUGGAAGAAAUCGAUCAUUUGAGGCUGCAUCCCUUUUGGAAUUACUAUUAGAUGAACUCCCGACCAUUGAGUUAUUGGUUGCAAGCCCUCUUCAAUUCCGUUGUUCACGCCUUCAGAUGUUUCUCUGACCAUGUUUGUGAAAAGGAUUUAUAAGAAUGUUUAAGCCUAUUCCCAAAAUUCUUGUCCAACCAUAAAAUAGAAAUUUCAAUGUCCUCUGGCCACCAAUAGAUUUUUUUUAGCUAUCAAUAGUUUUCUUUAGCUAUCAACCACCUAAUUUUGAUGCAACAUAUAUAGAUAUUAUUGAUUAAAAAUUCAAAUUAUGUACUUGGUCGACAAUAGGGUGUCAGACGAGCCGAGCCGAGCUUUGGCUUAUUGAGCCGGGCUCUGGCUCGGCUCGUUAAGGAGUAAUCCAGACUCGGGCUCGAAGUCGCCGAGCUUGGUUUGGCCGAGCUCGGGUUCAGCUCGUUAAUGAUUUGCCGAGCCGAAGUUCGAGCCCUAACCCGAGCCCUAGUUGAGCUCAUCGAGUCGAGUUUUAUUUGACACCCUAGUCUACACUAAUCCUUUUGUCCAAUGUCUAUUAUGAAAUUCGGUCAUAUUUUCCGAGGCGGGUAUCGUGGCAAGACAUUCCCGAGUUUGGCCCAGUCUUCAUAGACCGAGACUCACUCGAAACUCGAAACUCGAAAUUUUCUAUGAAAAAACCAUCCUAAAAUAUAAAUGAAAUUAAUUUAACCUAUUACCCUCUAAUUAAUUUAAUUUCAUCAAUUAACCUAUUUUUAAUUUAUCUAAUUUGACCCUGCUUAUUUGUGUUAGUGUUUUUUGUUGUACAUUUUUUUCGUCUACAUGUGUUAGUGUUUUUUGUUGUAUCUUUUUUUUCGUACAUGUGUUAGUUAGUGUCUUGUGUAAUACAUUAUCGUAGUUAAUGGAUAAAAAAUUAAAAGAUAGGAUACGUUCGGUGCAUUUUGGCGCACCGACAGUGGCGUAUCCAGGAUUCUCCGACAGGGGAGCAAUAUUCGUCGAAGGCGAAUUUUGUUUUUGUACUGAUUAAAAAAUAAAAUUUUUGCAUGACCUAUUCAUAAAAUCGAUUAUAAAAACCUAUAAAAAUUCAAUGCAUUCAAUCCAUACAAUAAUUAAUAUUCAAUAAAAUAAACACAUUUAUUUAAUUUACAAUAAAAAUUUCUAAUAUAUUAAACAUUACUUCAAUGUCCUACGACACAUAUCAUUAAAUAUUUUUAAAAUGAUUUCAUUGUUAUAUUUUUAAAAAUAUCUUUUUCGAUAUAUAUUAUUAAACAAUCAUUCAUCAAACUAUCACCAAACUUAUAUAUUAAAUUUAUUUUAAUAUGUAAAUAUAAAAUAUUUUAAUAUAUUAAUAUUAAAUAUAUUAAAUAUUAGGAGUGGGAGAGGGAGAGGGGAAAAGAAUAUAUUAAAUACUGUGAAAGUUAUAUAUUAAUAGGGUGUCGAAUAAAGCCCGGCUCGGCGGGCUCAGCUCGGGCUCGGCUCAUUUAAGCUCGGGCUCGUAAGCCCGAGCCCAAUCCUCAAGCUCGUUUAGCUUAACCAGCCAAGCUCGAGCUUGGACAUGCAGCUCGGCUCGUUAAGCUCGGUGGCUCGGUAAGAUCGAAGUAUAAAUAUAUAUAUAUAUUAUAUUUAAAGAGAAUAUAGAUGUAGCAUAGAUGGUAAAACGUUUGUUAAUCCUACGAGAGGUCACGAGUUUGAUCUCUCAUGUCUUCAAAUAAUUAUUUCUUUUAAUUCGAUCCCAGGCUCGCGAGCUUCAAGCCUGAGCCUGACAAUUCCUAAAACGAGCCGAACCCAAGCUCAAGCCAGUAUAACACCUUAACGAGCCGAGCCCGAACCUGAUUCUAUAAGCAAAAGCUCGGCUCGGCCCGACUCGUUUGACAUCCUAUAUAUUAACCCUUAAAAAAUAUUAAUAUAUUAUGAAAAUUGCAUUUAACCCCCUAUAAUUUUUUUAUUACAUAUAGGUCCUUAUUUUUCCCCAAAUUUCAGAUGGGGCAAUUACCCUCCCUUGCCACCCCCUGGCUACGCCACGUCGCACCUGAAAAUUACUGUAUUUUUUUUAUACCCUUUCAUGAAUAUCAUUUCUUUUAACCCUAGUCACCCAAUCCUUUGACCUAAUUUGAGUACCUUCUAGCUAAGCCUGUAAUUUUUUUAAAAUUUAAUAUCUGAUAUUUAUGAUAUUACAGAAAAAUAAUGAAAAAUUAAAUAAUUAAAACAUAAAUUAUCCUCAAUAUAAAUAAAGGAUAACCUAAAUCUAUUGAUCUUGAAAGCUCAAUAUAUUAUUCUUAUUCGAUUCAUCUUACAUAUAUAUUCAUUACUUUCCCGGUGAUGGUGGUUGUGGUGGUUCCAUUGUCGGUAACGUAUCAGAAUAGAGAUAAUUUUGAUAUAUCGCGCUACUGAUAUCACCUCCCAUACCUUCAUUUUUAUUUGCUUCAUCUAUCUUACUAGAGAACAUCGCCAUUAAAUCACCUGCUUCUUCAGUCCUGCUAUCACAUCUUUCCCGCAUUAUUGGAAACCUCUCUCCACCAUUCUUCAAACUUCCGAACUCAUUAUUGCUACGGUAAAUACUCGGGUCAAAGCCACCGUAAAGGGACGAUUCAGACAUGCCAUAAUUACCUCCACCUAGGUUGGACAUUGAAUAGCUAGUUUCUCCAACCGUAGGAUAAAUGUAAUGGGCAGUUGGAUCCAUCAUACCAGUGUAAUUAUUUCCAUAAUCAUUACAGUU
rnacentral:lncRNA from 1 species